rnacentral:rRNA from 1 species
AAUCAUUAGUCUUGUAAUUCAGGACUGGAAUGAAUGGUUUAACCAAAGUAAUUUUGUCUUUUAGUAAUAUUUUGAAUUUUAUAUUUUAGUAACAAAGCUAAAAUUANAUAUGAGGGACGAGAAGACCCUAUCAAGUUUUACAAAUUNUANNNUAUUACUUUUNAAUUUNAAUAAAAUAUNUUGNUUUAGCUGGGGCAGCUUAUAGAGUAAAUUCUAUUUAUUUAUUGUNNAAUUUUAAAUUUUGUUUUAUCUUANAAUUUUAAAAUUAAAAAUAAAUUACUGUAGGGAUAACAGCAUAAUUUUUUUAAAGAGUCCUUAUCAUAAAAAAAGUUUGUGACCUCGAUGUUGGAUUAAGAGACCUGAUUAACGCAAGAGUUAAAAUAGGAAGUCUGUUCGACUUUUAAAUUCUUCC